rnacentral:rRNA from 1 species
AUUGAACGCUGGCGGCAUGCUUUACACAUGCAAGUCGAACGGUAACAGGCCGCAAGGUGCUGACGAGUGGCGAACGGGUGAGUAAUGCAUCGGAACGUGCCCAGUCGUGGGGGAUAACGCAGCGAAAGCUGCGCUAAUACCGCAUACGAUCUAUGGAUGAAAGCGGGGGACCGUAAGGCCUCGCGCGAUUGGAGCGGCCGAUGUCAGAUUAGGUAGUUGGUGGGGUAAAGGCUCACCAAGCCAACGAUCUGUAGCUGGUCUGAGAGGACGACCCGCCACACUGGGACGGCGACUGGGCCCAGAACCCGACGGGAGGCAGCAGGGGGGAAUUUUGGACAAUGGGGGCAAGCCUGAUCCAGCAAUGCCGCGUGCAGGAAGAAGGCCUUCGGGUUGUAAACUGCUUUUGUACGGAACGAAACGGCUCUGGUUAAUACCUGGGGCUAAUGACGGUACCGUAAGAAUAAGCACCGGCUAACGACGUGCCAGCAGCCGCCGUAAGAC